UCCCGCGAGAGCAGGAGCUUGACCAUUUUUCCUAAGGCGGGAGCGGAGCGCUGUGGCUUAGCUGUUGGAGAGAGGUGGCUGCAGUUACCAAGAGUGAAGACACCUGGAAAGAAGUUGUCAUCACUAAGAGUGUCUUCUGGAAGGCUGCUGGUCUGCGAUGGAGAAAACUGAGACUCAAAGAGAUUUAUUUUCCUUCCCAACACAGUAGUAAAAUGGGCAGAAAUGAAAGGAGCCUGCAGGUUGAACCCAGCUUUACCAAGGACAUUCUUACAUGAAACCAGCAUCUUGUUUCUUAAGUCAAAUGGUGACAGUGAUGAAUACGACUUCUAGUACAGUCUCUUUUAGGUUUAAGAUUACUACAAAAAUAUCAUGUGAUUAAUGGGAAAUUCCCAGUGUAUUUGUGGAAGAGAAUUGGUCCUAUCGAAUACUGGACAUCAGAGAUAACUGAGUUUUCCCCAGCAAAGGGGAUGGCCACACCAUGACUCAAUAAGCAGCUCUGCAGCUGCUCCUGCGAAUCGCUCCAUUUCACCAUCAGUCCCCUGGCCCCAUAAGAGGAGAGCCUACAUGAAUGUCAUCACCUUGCCAAAAAAUUCUGGGUCAGAGCCAGCCAAGGAGAGCCUUCCAGAGGCAGGCAAGAACCCUCAGCUACUCUCACUUUUUACCUAGCUGGAGGUCAGUGUUGAAUUUACAAAGGAAAUAGAGUUGGAGCUUGAGGCUUUGCUUAUGUUACCUUAUUUAAUUAAUUAGUUAAGUAAUAAUCCUACAUAUUCACUGAUUGUCUUUCAUGGACAGAGUUCUGAGGUCUGAAGUACAAUCAUGAGUAUUGCCCACAAGAGCUUUAUAUUCUAAGAUAGAUAAGAAAGUAGAUAAGUGUAACCCAAUAUGACAACUGCUAUGAUUAAAGUUAACGCAAUAUGCAGGGGGAGCACACAGCAGCGUCACAGCCAAGGAUUACUGGAGGAGGGAAGAUUUUCUAAAGGACACAUAAAUGUUAGCCUCACGAGGAAAAGUCAAGGGGAGUCAGAAACACAAAGGCCUAAGAACCUAGCAUGCAGCAAAUUCUCAGUCAAUGCUUGUUGGAUGAACUAUCUUUUCACAAUGCAAUGCUGCCUCCUAUUAAUACUGCAGUUUCUU